rnacentral:rRNA from 1 species
GAUGAACGCUGGCGGCGUGCCUAAUACAUGCAAGUCGAGCGAACAGAUGAGGAGCUUGCUCCUCUGACGUUAGCGGCGGACGGGUGAGUAACACGUGGAUAACCUACCUAUAAGACUGGGAUAACUUCGGGAAACCGGAGCUAAUACCGGAUAAUAUAUUGAACCGCAUGGUUCAAUAGUGAAAGACGGUUUUGCUGUCACUUAUAGAUGGAUCCGCGCCGCAUUAGCUAGUUGGUAAGGUAACGGCUUACCAAGGCAACGAUGCGUAGCCGACCUGAGAGGGUGAUCGGCCACACUGGAACUGAGACACGGCCCAGACCCCUACGGGAGGCAGCAGUAGGGAAUCUGCCGCAAUGGGCGAAAGCCUGACGGAGCAACGCCGCGUGAGUGAUGAAGGUCUUCGGAUCGUAAAACUCUGUUAUUAGGGAAGAACAAAUGUGUAAGUAACUAUGCACGUCUUGACGGUACCUAAGCAGAAAGCCACGGCUAACUACGU